CGAGGAAUUUUAGGUAGACUGAUGAGCCAACUGCAGGGGAGAAUAUGGGAAGAGCUUAGCGCAGCUCCUUAAGCUACGGAAGCUGAUUAAAUUCUGAACGCUAGGGGGAGCAGGUGACAGGUGUUAACCAGAGACCCGGCCCACAGAGACAAGGAAUGCGGUAAGUAAAACCUGGUGAUGGAGGUGGGCCCUGCGGAGCAGCAGCAGGGCUUAGCUGCUGCCUGCCUUGCCAGCAUCCCACAGCCACUUCCGAUCCAGCUCCUUGUUAAGGCAACUGGCAAACAGCCCGGAAUGCCUGCGUGCUAGGGCCCGGCACCCACCUGGGAGCUCUGGAUGGAGUUCUGGGAUCCCGGCUUUGUCCUGGCCUAGAUCUAGUCAUUGAGGCCACAUGAAGAGGGAACCUGCGAAUGGAAGAUCUUUCUCUCUGGUGCUCUCUCUUCCCUGAACUCCCAGGCUCAAAGGUUUAUGAUUUGUUCCACAAAUACUGAGAAAUUACAAAGUGCCAGCCACAAUUCUAAUCCUUGCUAUUCUAUUCUAAGUGAUCUACAAGUGCGUUGUGUUUUCUGUCUCCUGCAGUGGGUCCUAAACACGGAUUUCCAGUACAGAGCACAGAACGAGUCAGUUGACAGCUAGCGGGAGAUGGAGUCACACUUGCUGAGCACCUACUGUGUGUCAAUUCUGCAUUCACUACUACGCCCAUCAAGACACAAACACAGAAAAGCCUUCUAAGAGGGGACAAGGGGCCGAGCACCCAGGAACCCACUUCCUGCCGCCUCUGCUGCCUGUGUUUGUCUUCAUGCAGCUGGAGAACUUGACUCUGGACACACUCCCAUGUCAGCCUGACCAGGAGGAGAUGCAGAGGAUGAGAGGUGUGGAACGAGCACGCUACAAAAGCAGAGAAGGCUUUUCCCAUGAAGACCACAGCAGCCAAGAGUCCUGGCUUAGUACAGCUCAGGGCUUCCAGGCUCAGAUUUGGGGACAAAAAUCCUUAUGGCAGGUUCAUCUGUGAAAGCCAACAGGGUGACUGCAGGUGGUACAGGACAUCAGUGGGGGAACAGAUCGGGGGGGUACUAUGGACUGAUUGCGUCCUCCCCAAAUUCAUGCAUUGAAUCUCUACCUUCCAACAUGAUGGCAUUUGGACCUGGGACUUGAGGAGCGACUGAGUGUAGAUAAAGUCACCAAAGGGUGUUCCCUCCCUGCUGCUCUCUCUGCCCCCGUGAGGACCCAGAGAAGGCAGCCAUGUGCUAACCAGAAAAAGACCUUUCACCAGAACCCAACCAUGCUGGCGCCCCGAUCUUGAAUGCCCAGCCUGCAGGCCUUUGGGAAAUUUCUGUUGUUUAGUCCGCCCAGUCUGUAACACUUGGCCAUAGCAGCCUGAGCACAUUGAGACAGUGCACAGUCGUGACUGCAAGGGCUCUGCGACCUCUCAGGAACACCUCUCAUUGCUCUUGCCGUCACCUCUGACCUCUUUUCACCUUGCUUGUCUCCACACUCCCUCUGAAAUGAGAUGCUCUGGCAUCUGGAAGGGAGAUCUCAAUGGAAAAAAAAAAAAAAGACGAACCACCUGGCUGGACUAGAAUAUCGCCUCCAGAGUGACCACUAACCCAGGGAGUGCCCUUGGGAGAAGAAGCAUGCUCGCCUGCCCACUGUGGUCUGACACAGCCCUGAACCUGUGGCAGGACACCUGGAGCCUGGGCUGAUUUCCAGUCCUCCUGGCCCAGCACCUUGGCCCUCCUGGCCCGGCGUGGAGUGUAUUACCAACAAACGUGGAAGCUCCAUGUCUUCACAAAGCACUUAGUGUGUGGUGUGCUGGUUGUCUUUUUUUUUAGCAUCUUCUAUCCUGCACAUUUCAACUGAUCCCAUAAAUAAUUGCCACAAACUCAGUGGUUGUGGGUUGAUGACAGAUUAUUCCCAAAUUUCCUCGCCUCCAAACUUCAUGGAAGACAGAGCCACAAAAGAUUGGACCAGAUGCCUGAGGACAGUGAGUCAGGGUGAGUGAGGGGAGGUUGAGGGCAGGAGACCCUGGGUAGAAGGAGCCUCGUCCUCCUCGAGAGGGGACUCCUGGGCUGGUCAGGGUGUUUCUCCUCCUCCUGGCUUCCCAGGGCUCCUGAGCCCACCUUCCCCGACAUCCACCUGUCUCUCUGCCUUCCCCUCUACCUGUAGAACCACUUGAGCACAACAGAUGGGGCUGCAGAAGAACCACCAGGCAGCCUGAUUUGAAAAGAUGGCCUAGGCAGAGAAUUUCCCUUUCUAUACCCCGCCCCAACCCCUGGCCUUCUACCUGAAACUCCCUGCUUUUUGGACCACUAAAGGAUCAGACCCAGCUACCUGUGAUGGUCCACACACAGUGAUGGGGAACUGUCCCUUGUGAAGAGACUCAAGGCUCAGGCUAAGUCAACUGCCUUUGAGUAUUCCCCCCAGGGAAAGCGUGCCAGAUCCAUGCCACUCAUCCGGAGAGACAGCAGCUCCUCUUCAAUGAGCUGAUCAGAAGGGCAGAGGGGCCACUGGGCCUUGCGCUUGCUGCAUCUAAGUGGUUAGAGAGCUGGUCAUGGUCACUGGGAGACAGAACAGCUUCCCGCCCAGAGAGAAAGAGCAUCAGGUGCCCCACCAUGAGCUGGGAUUACAAGUGAGAGCCCAAAAGUCCUUACACAGCACGGAAGCCAGACUGAGUUCCAGUCGUGGCUACUGUACUCACCAGCCCUUGGCAUGUCAUUGUUACUAAAUGCCUUUGGUUCUUUGGCUUCUCAGCUCUACAGAAAACCCCCGAAGUCCAAGGGUUCUGCACCUGCUGAUUCAACCAAUGUCAGAAAAUACUGGAGAAACAAUUGUGUCUAUCCUGAAUGUGUAGACUUUUUCCUUGUCAUUAUUUUCCUAAACACUACAGUCUACCAACUAUUUACAUAGCAUUCUCCAGGCAUUGCCUAAUGUGCCAGGAGAGCCAACUGCCAUGGGUCGAGAACCACUUACCUCACCUACCAUACGAAUUCCAACAUUAUCAGUAGAGCCCGGUUGCCCUUGAUAGCAGGCAGCUUGUGUGCUUUGCCUUCCAGGACAGAGUUUAGUCUACCUAGGGUCAGGUAAUAAAUUUAAGUCAUGGUAUCUCUUUUGUCUCCUUGAAGUUGGACUAUUUCCUCAGCUUUUCUUUUUUAAAUAUAUUUAUUUACUUGAAAAGCAGAGAGAGAGAGAGAGAGAGAGAGAGAGGUCUUCCAUCUGCUGGUUCACUCCCCAAAUGGCCACAAAGGCCAGGACUGUACCAGGCUGAAGCCAGGAGCCAGGAGCUUCUUCUGCAUCUCCCACGUGGAUGCUGGGGCCCAAGCAAUUGGGCCAUCUUCUGCUGCUUUCCUAGGCACAUUGGCAGGGAGCUGGAUUGGAAGUGAAUCAGCCAGGACUCAAAUUGGCAUCCAUAUGGGAUGCUGGCCUUGCAGGAGGUGGCUUAACCCAUAAAGCAUAAUGCCAGCCUCAGCUUUUGUGGUUUUAGUGUCUUUUUUAACCCAGGAAGGAGCCAUUAGUCAUGUGUGUGUCUUAUCUCCCCUCCUCUCUGCUUCCACUCAUAUACUGAUGUAGGAAGCAUAAUAAGACAUCAAAAAAAAUUUGUUGACAAAUAAAAUCCAACAUACACUUCCCCUGAGCACAGUACUGGGUAGUCCCAUGCCGUAACCCUUCUAAGAACUCUGUGAGUAGUUACGCCCAGCCCAGCUCCAUUUUACAGGUCAGGAAACUGAGAAACAUUCUGCCAUGGGCGUGCCUGGGGGUUCAGUUGUCUGCCCCCAAAAUUCGUAUGUUGCAGUCCUAACUCUCAGAAUCUUCUAAUAUAAUC